CUGAAUGUUCCACAGUUCUCUACUCUUCCUGCAAAACUACCAGUCAGGCCGGUGGUAGCUCGUCCCCUGCAGGACAGUGAGGUGCCGGAGGACCCUCCCCCCUCUGGACAUCGAGGGGUCCCCGGCGUAUACGAUACGGGCCAUUCUGGAUUCAAGACGCCGGGUGAGGGUCCUGCAGUACCUCGUGGACUGGGAGGGGUACGGUCCGGAGGAGAGGUGCUGGGUACCGGUGGGGGACAUCUUGGAUCCAUCAAUGUUGAGGGAUUUCCAUCGCCUCCAUCCAGAUCGCUCUGCACCUCGUCAUCCGGGUCGACCUCGAGGCCGGUGGGGGGGGGGGGUCCGACCGAGGGUGGCGAGUCCGUCCGAGGGUGGCUCCCCUUCCCAUUCGGGUGGCGCUCGGCGGUCGUCGUCACCGGCCUAUUAGCUGCCACUGAUUUUCAUUCCUCCCCCUCCUUGUAUGUUUGUUGUUAGCACCUGUUAGUUAGUAAUUAGUUGGGCUUUAUUAGACAGCCGGGCCCGCCUGUUUCUUUGUGCGGGAUUCAUUAUUGUAACCUUCGUGUAUGAAGUAGACGAACGCGUUUGUUCCUGGUCGUGUAUUCUGCUGUACUGUUUUCGUCCCCCGUGUUUGGGGCAUUUGUUUUUGAGCACCCAGUGUUUCGUGAGUGCAUUAAAGAGCACAGUAUUGAACUCUCUGUUUCCUGCGUCUGACUCCACACCCACGACACCCGGAGCGUUACACUAACUUUAUUUGCAUUAUUAUGAAAUUACCAGACUGAUUUAUAUGUUUG
ensembl:lncRNA